AGGUUAAGUUGAAGAGACGGAGCCGCAGCGAAAGCGAGUCUGAAUAGGGCGUUUAGUACGUGGUCGUAGACCCGAAACCAGGUGAUCUACCCAUGUCCAGGGUGAAGUUCAGGUAACACUGAAUGGAGGCCCGAACCCACGCACGUUGAAAAGUGCGGGGAUGAGGUGUGGGUAGCGGAGAAAUUCCAAUCGAACCUGGAGAUAGCUGGUUCUCCCCGAAAUAGCUUUAGGGCUAGCCUUAAGUGUAAGAGUCUUGGAGGUAGAGCACUGAUUGAACUAGGGGUCCUCAUCGGAUUACCGAAUUCAGUCAAACUCCGAAUGCCAAUGACUUAUCCUUAGGAGUCAGACUGCGAGUGAUAAGAUCCGUAGUCAAGAGGGAAACAGCCCAGAUCGCCAGCUAAGGUCCCAAAGUGUGUAUUAAGUGGAAAAGGAUGUGGAGUUGCUUAGACAACUAGGAUGUUGGCUUAGAAGCAGCCACCAUUUAAAGAGUGCGUAAUAGCUCACUAGUCGAGUGACUCUGCGCCGAAAAUGUACCGGGGCUAAAUACACCACCGAAGCUGCGAAUUGAUACCAAUGGUAUCAGUGGUAGGGGAGCGUUCUAAGGACAGUGAAGUCAGACCGUAAGGACUGGUGGAGUGCUUAGAAGUGAGAAUGCCGGUAUGAGUAGCGAAAGACGGGUGAGAAUCCCGUCCACCGAAUGCCUAAGGUUUCCUGAGGAAGGCUCGUCCGCUCAGGGUUAGUCAGGACCUAAGCCGAGGCCGACAGGCGUAGGCGAUGGACAACAGGUUGAUAUUCCUGUACCACCUCUUUAUCGUUUGAGCAAUGGAGGGACGCAGAAGGAUAGAAGAAGCGUGCGAUUGGUUGUGCACGUCCAAGCAGUUAGGCUGAUAAGUAGGCAAAUCCGCUUAUCGUGAAGGCUGAGCUGUGAUGGGGAAGCUCCUUAUGGAGCGAAGUCUUUGAUUCCCCGCUGCCAAGAAAAGCUUCUAGCGAGAUAAAAGGUGCCUGUACCGCAAACCGACACAGGUAGGCGAGGAGAGAAUCCUAAGGUGUGCGAGAGAACUCUGGUUAAGGAACUCGGCAAAAUGACCCCGUAACUUCGGGAGAAGGGGUGCUUUCUUAACGGAAAGCCGCAGUGAAUAGGCCCAAGCGACUGUUUAGCAAAAACACAGGUCUCUGCGAAGCCGUAAGGCGAAGUAUAGGGGCUGACACCUGCCCGGUGCUGGAAGGUUAAGGAGAGGGGUUAGCGUAAGCGAAGCUCUGAACUGAAGCCCCAGUAAACGGCGGCCGUAACUAUAACGGUCCUAAGGUAGCGAAAUUCCUUGUCGGGUAAGUUCCGACCCGCACGAAAGGUGUAACGAUUUGGGCACUGUCUCAACCAGAGACUCGGUGAAAUUAUAGUACCUGUGAAGAUGCAGGUUACCCGCGACAGGACGGAAAGACCCCGUGGAGCUUUACUGUAGCCUGAUAUUGAAUUUUGGUACAGUUUGUACAGGAUAGGCGGGAGCCAUUGAAACCGGAGCGCUAGCUUCGGUGGAGGCGCUGGUGGGAUACCGCCCUGACUGUAUUGAAAUUCUAACCUACGGGUCUUAUCGACCCGGGAGACAGUGUCAGGUGGGCAGUUUGACUGGGGCGGUCGCCUCCUAAAGUGUAACGGAGGCGCCCAAAGGUUCCCUCAGAAUGGUUGGAAAUCAUUCGUAGAGUGCAAAGGCAUAAGGGAGCUUGACUGCGAGACCUACAAGUCGAGCAGGGACGAAAGUCGGGCUUAGUGAUCCGGUGGUUCCGCAUGGAAGGGCCAUCGCUCAACGGAUAAAAGCUACCCCGGGGAUAACAGGCUUAUCUCCCCCAAGAGUCCACAUCGACGGGGAGGUUUGGCACCUCGAUGUCGGCUCAUCGCAUCCUGGGGCUGUAGUCGGUCCCAAGGGUUGGGCUGUUCGCCCAUUAAAGCGGUACGCGAGCUGGGUUCAGAACGUCGUGAGACAGUUCGGUCCCUAUCCGUCGUGGGCGUAGGAAAUUUGAGAGGAGCUGUCCUUAGUACGAGAGGACCGGGAUGGACGCACCGCUGGUGUACCAGUUGUUCUGCCAAGGGCAUAGCUGGGUAGCUAUGUGCGGAAGGGAUAAGUGCUGAAAGCAUCUAAGCAUGAAGCCCCCCUCAAGAUGAGAUUUCCCAUAGCGUAAGCUAGUAAGAUCCCUGAAAGAUGAUCAGGUUGAUAGGUUCGAGGUGGAAGCAUGGUGACAUGUGGAGCUGACGAAUACUAAUAGAUCGAGGACUUAACCAU
rnacentral:rRNA from 1 species